AGUUUAUUAACUGCCCAUGUGAAAUAGUAUUUCUUUCUUCCUCUACUGCAGUAAUGCUCAUUUGCAAGAAUUUCCAGUUAAUGCAUAUUCAAACCAAGCAACUGCAGCCCAUUUUGGGGCUUUAGGAAUAGCAUGAAAGGACAGGUGCUGUCAACUGGAAAGGAAAGGAGCUGUCGACUGUUUUGACAAUCCAGUGAAUCUGCACUAGUUGAUAAAGGCUAUUUAAAAAAAAAUCUUACACCUCUACUAAAUUAUUUUGAUUUUACUGUGUAAAUGAAUUGGGGAUGCCGUUAAGUCAAGGAACAGGACACUGGGUAGCGUACUGGCUGCUGCUGCCAUCGCUGAAUUACCUCAGUCACGUAGUAGUUACAUAACUGACAUGACCUGGAAUCCAAAACUUGACAGUUGGCUACAAAUACAUCGGUGUCUUUGUUGGAAAUCUCAGAGAAGCAAGGUGCUGAAUGAGUUAGAAUGGAAUAACUGGUUGCCGUAAAUGUGACUGCCAAGAAAGAAGUUGGAUUACCUACCAUGUCCAUGUGUGGAAAGCUUUUAUUUUUGUUUGUGCUUGCUGUCAGUUUAACUCCUUUCAAAAACCACUAAAUUAAUCUUUGAAAACCUUUCUGUUUGUAAUUUAUUGCUGUGCUUGUUUGGGACGUUGAGCGCAUGCUGAGAAGGUGUGGAUGACAUAAUUGUCAUUUGUUCUUUUCUAUAAUACAGUAUGUUGGAAUUUAAAUUGGUUGUAUUUAUUUGAUUUUAAUUGUUUACACUUACACAUUGAUUUUAAAAAUUAAUGUUGCAGGCUGUUGAAUCAAAUCUUUUGGAGAGCUGAUUUGUCACCAGUAUACUUUUUUUYCCACUUUUAUAAGCUGCGUUUUAGUGACAAGGCUUAGCUAGUGGUGUUUGAUGUGUUACUCAAAAAUAACAUACAACCUUAGUUGUAGUGAUUUAAAUACUACUGAAAUGAAGCAGAAAAUAAUAUUUGGUGCAUAAACAUUACACAAAUGCAAAGCUAGUGUUUUCCUUCUGCCUGUUCCUUGUGCAUACAUCUACUCUAUAGGCCUGUUUUUGAUUUUGUAUUAGUUUGGUUUUGUGAAUCAGUUUUUACYAACUGAUCAUCCACAGCUUUWAAAAAAAAAAUUUGAAAAAAUUAACAAGUGCUGGGAAAAAGUUUCCUGCUCACCUUUACAGAAUUAACAUGGUGUGUAGAGGGGUGAUUUCUUUAUAUAGGUGUGUGUGUUUGUGUGUGUAUGUAAAUUUACAAAUAUAUAUGUAUAUUUAUACACUCAUAGACUUCCAGCCUUC
rnacentral:lncRNA from 1 species